GGGGAAUUGGUGGAAAGGGAGCUGGGGGAGACCUGAUUGGCCAGGAGUGAACAAUGGGCCGGAGAAAAUCUCCCCCUACCAUUGUAGUGGGUCAGGAGGAAUCUCUCCCCUCGUUGGGGUGACCAGAAAAGGUCCUUUACUCGCCCUGGCUAGAAGCACCAGCAGCCACAGUUGCAGCAGCCGCAGCAGCAGUUGCAGCAGCCGCGGCCACAGUUGCAGCAGCCGCAGCAGUUGAGUGUUUGCACUGAGCCCCAGCCCUGGCCCGGCAGCCAACCCCUCCGAUCUGCUGUAGAGCUUCCCAUUCAAGACAUGAAUGUGACUCUGAGUCUCUCGGGGGCCACAUAGUUGUGUAGAUGUUUAACCGAUCCCUGAAGGAUCAGUCCUGCAUCCUCUUCCUUCGUGGGAUCGCAACGGGAGACAGUCUGGGGGAUGUGUGAAACGAUUUGAAAAUAAAACUCGCCCUAUGCGGUGUUCUUUUAAAGUGGCGUUGGCCAUUCGAA